UACGAAGGGGGCUAGCGUUGCUCGGAUUGACUGGGCGUAAAGGGCGCGUAGGCGGUUCGUACAGUCAGACGUGAAAUUCCUGGGCUCAACCUGGGGGCUGCGUUUGAUACGUGCGGACUUGAGUGCGGAAGAGGGUCGUGGAACUCCCAGUGUAGAGGUGAAAUUCGUAGAUAUUGGGAAGAACACCGGUGGCGAAGGCGGCGACCUGGUCCGAUACUGACGCUGAGGCGCGAAAGCGUGGGGAGCAAACAGG
rnacentral:rRNA from 1 species